CUUAGGAAUCUUGCGCAAUGGGGGCAACCCUGACGCAGCGACGCCGCGUGCGGGACGAAGGCAUUCGUGUCGUAAACCGCUUUUAACGGGGAAGAACGGGUCGAGCAAUCGACCCUUGACGGUACCCGUUGAAUAAGCCCCGGCUAACUACGUGCCAGCAGCCGCGGUAAUACGUAGGGGGCGAGCGUUGUCCGAAGUUACUGGGCGUAAAGCGCGCGUAGGCGGUUCUUUAAGUCUGGUGUGAAAGGUUCACGGUUCAACCGGAACAGUGCACUGGAGACUGGGGGACUUGAGUCUGGGAGAGGGGAGCGGAAUUCCUGGUGUAGCGGUGAAAUGCGUAGAUAUCAGGAGGAACACCGAUGGCGAAGGCAGCUUCCUGGCCUAAGACUGACGCUGAGGUGCGAAAGCGUGGGGAGCGAACGG
rnacentral:rRNA from 1 species